UAAUGGUUUCGGAAACCUAUAUUAUGUCCAAACAUUGAAUCACCAUUUGGUUGUAGCUAGCAAUCUUCGAAUUAAUUGAAAACAAGACUACGUCAAAGAUGGUUUCUUCGAAGUCAACCAUUCUCUUUGAUUGUAGUCACCUUAAGCUACCAAUUAGCUAUUUAAGGUUUCAUUAUUUCGGGUCAAAUGGUACUUUACCAUUUCCUUGAGUAUAUAUCGUAUAUACACUCAAUGUAGUCAUUAGGAUUUUCAUUCUUAUUUCUUUCGAAUUUAGAGGUGUAACUCUAUGACAUAGUCAUAAAGUUCAAACCAUUCAACUGAGACGGUUUAUAAAUCCUUCUCGACUACCUUGGAGCUUGUGGUAUAGGAACUAGGUUGUUAUAUUUGUUUAUCACUAACUUGUUUCUUAAAGAACCAUUCUUUGAGUUCUAUCCCUCGUUCAUUUGCUCUAUCUUGGGCAAAUCCUAGUGUAGGAUUACAAUGAACUACCCAACAAACAACAUUUGUUAGUUGGUUUAUAGAAGUGAUAUCCAAAUGUUAAUUUAAGGAUACCCACAAGAUAAUUCUCAAACAAAUAUUGCUUAUUAGCACACAACCCCAAAUCUUAACAUGAUUAAGAUUUGUUUUUCUUUCCAACUACAUCUUAUGGAGUCAUGAAAAUUUUGGAAGAUCUUCUAAUUGACAAUCAUAUUGUCUUAGAAGCAUAUAUCCUAUAUAUGGGUAAUUGAUAACAAUGAACGAACUAAAUCUUAUUCAAGUUCGUUCUUCUCCUAAUGGAGAAAUCCAUUAUCUUUUGAUGCUUCUUUCCUUGAUAUUUUUCAAGGAAACUGUUCUAAAGUGUUAUCUUUCCUUGGAUCAAAUCUAAGGAGGCAAAUACUUUAGAUGUCUUACUCAUCAACUUACAUUUCUUGAAUUCUUUGAAACCUUUUGCAAAGUAUUCGGACUU
rnacentral:lncRNA from 1 species